AACUUUCAGCUUUUACCACCAGCUACUGCAACAAGGUCAAAACAUGUUUUAUCUUUAACGAGAAUAGACAGAUAGUGAGAAAUGAAUUACCUAAGUGCAGAGUCAGCUGGUUUUAAUCAGCUAAAUGUGAAUAAUUUGUGUAAUGUAAUAUUAAUCUACAACCUCACAAAAGUUAACUUUUUUUAUCCUGCCAUCAGAGCCAGGGCUUCCUGUUUUAACAGAACUGCAAAAUGCUAAAAACCAGUUUAGGAUUACUGUGCACUGAGUCAGUAGCACCAAACCUUUUCCCUUUAGACCCCACUAUUUGUAUCUAAGAAAGGUUGAGAAUCCUGAGAAUUUGUGGGGCUCUAAGACAAUGCUAAACAUCGUAGCCAGUCUGUACACAGUUGCUGUGAGUGCUGUACAUAGCAGAAACACAGACUACUGAGUUUUAUCAGGAAUGUGUUCUGCUUCCAACUCUGUUCAGUGCUUCAAUGGAUGGACAUUUGGGAAGUGCUUUUGGAGUCAUAAGGUUGCUGGACCUCUAUCUUUGCAGAAAUGAGGGACCAAGUCUUUAGGGUCGUGUGCUUACCGUCUUGUGAUGCUUAGACGCUAACCAAGCAUCUUUGGGUACAGCUGGAAUAACUGUAUUAUAUUAACUUAGAGAAACCAAGAUGAGGAGUAUCACUUGCAUUGUGAGGGAUUGAACACCAUCCACUUGAUGGUCAAGUAAUUAAAAGUGGUGGGCUUAUAACCACAGGAUCCUCUGUUCAAAUCUCCAUCAGUCCAGAAAAUCACUAAUGGCCUUUGGGCAAGGUCCUUAAUCCCCAGGAUACUCCCUGUUUUCAGUUAAGCGCUUUGCAUGGCAGCACCCUGACGUUGUGUGUGAAUGUGAGGGAUCAAUGUAAAACAGUUUGACGCACAUGAAGGCACAACAGAAAUUCAGUCCAUUUAUAUGUCUUUUUAAAACAAAUCUCAACACUGGUGUUUAAGGUUUUAUUGAACAUUUUCUAUACAACAGACACAUAAAACAGAUAUAAAAGAAGCAGGAUCUUAAUUCUAGUCAGAGAUGGGUAAUUCUUCCAACGUCAUGCCAAUCUCUUGCAGUUUGGGGUCAUCCAGCCAGUUGAUUUUACAGGCCAAGAAGAUGCCCUAAAAAUUAAACACAA